AGCACUUUGUGUGUGUAUGUUCAACUGGUAGACAAAGUCAUGAAAGACAGGUACAAAAAUAAAUCCUUUUUGCAACCUAUAACUCAUUGUUCAGUAUGAGUUUUGAGACCUACAUGAAGGAAAGU
ensembl:snoRNA